GUGAAUAUAGCUCAGAUGGGAGAGCAUCUGCCUUACAAGCAGAAUGUCGGCGGUUCAAUUCCUCCUAUUCACACCA
rnacentral:tRNA from 1 species